UACGAAGGGGGCUAGCGUUGUUCGGAAUCACUGGGCGUAAAGGGUGCGUAGGCGGCUUUUCAAGUCGGGGGUGAAAGCCUGUGGCUCAACCCACAGAAUUGCCUUCGAUACUGUUAGGCUUGAGACCGGAAGAGGUGAGUGGAACUGCGAGUGUAGAGGUGAAAUUCGUAGAUAUUCGCAAGAACACCAGUGGCGAAGGCGGCUCACUGGUCCGGUUCUGACGCUGAGGCGCGAAAGCGUGGGGAGCAAACAGGG
rnacentral:rRNA from 1 species